rnacentral:rRNA from 1 species
GACGAACGCUGGCGGCGUGCUUAACACAUGCAAGUCGAGCGGUAAGGCCCUUUCGGGGGUACGACGAGCGGCGAACGGGUGAGUAACACGUGGGUGACCUGCCCUUAGCUCUGGGAUAAGCCUGGGAAACUGGGUCUAAUACCGGAUAUGACUCCAUAACGCAUGUUGUGGGGUGGAAAGCCUUGUGCGGCUAGGGAUGGGCCCGCGGCCUAUCAGCUUGUUGGUGGGGGUGAUGGCCCACCAAGGCGACGACGGGUAGCCGGCCUGAGAGGGCGACCGGCCACACUGGGGACUGAGACACGGCCCAGACUCCUACGGGAGGCAGCAGUGGGGAAUCUUGCGCAAUGGGCGAAAGCCUGACGCAGCGACGCCGCGUGGGGGA